CCCACAACUCCUAGGAAAUCCUUGACAAAUGUGUGUUUCUAUAGGUUCAUGGUACAGAGGAAAGGUCACACUACCACCAGGGCCACAAAACUGCUCCUGGAAAUGUUCAAAACUCCUACGAAAACCUUGGCAAAUCUGUGUUUUUAGGUUCAUGAUACAGAGGAAGGAUCAAACUACCAUCGAGGUCACAAAUCUACCCCUGGAAAUAAAGAAAAAACCCAUGAAAGGACAGAAUUAGGAUCAAACGACUUCAGUAUAACCAUUUCAAAUAGUCUGUUUGGGUGUUGGAUUCCCUCCCUCUCCUAUGUUAUCUAUUGGUAAUACAUGAGAGGGAAAAAUAAAGUGUUGGGACUGUGCAAAGUAUUACGAGUUAAACCCGAGAAGUUUUGGGUCCCUCCAAAGGUCGGUUUAGGGGCCGUUUUACAGGGCCAAUCCGAGGAGUUUUGGGUCCCUACAGAGUUAUUCAUCCCAAACUCUGUAGGGACCAGAAACUUCUCGGGUUAAAGGCUCCUCCAUCAAAGCGAGAAAAAUGAGAAAAAAUCAUCACUCACGCAAACCAUUUCAUAAUAUAUAUCAACGCAUUUGUGAUCAGUUUAUGCCCGGUGUCACACGCCACAGUGUCCUCCCCCGUCUAAAUGUCCCCCUUUGUUUACAAACAAAAGGGAGGACAUUAAGGCUUACGGUAUCGUGUUCCGCCGCGUCCUCAAAUUCCUAAAUGUCCUCCCAUUAUUUUCCAGCACGGAAGGGCAUAUUGUUAUAUUCUUUCAUAGGAAAACAUCAGUGAAUACAUUACAACGCUCUGCUUUGUAUAAAUGAAGUGAAGGGACAAUAAAUAGCCUUCAUGACAAUGAUUCAUCAGUAAAUUAACGGCAAAUAGCCUUUUGCUAUAGUAAAAAAAAUGUCGAUAUGCAUAGCCUAUGAGACCCUUUUUUUUGUGUGUGUGGGGGGUGAGCGAAUUGAGCAUGCCAUGCAUAUGUGCUUUUUAUUUUUCUUUAUAUAAGCCCUUUAAGGGAAUUUUGAAGAUGAUCUAAAAAAAAGUGAGGGGUGGUGCUAUAUAAAUAGCUUACCCCCCCCCCCCCAAAGCAGAUUGCUUUCUCUUAUAAUUAUGUGGGGUCUACUACAUAUGACCCUACUGUAUAACAACUCAGGUUAUCAGAAUUACAUUGCGGUACACUGUGCUAUGGGUGAGGUUUGAUUGUCUACAGGAAUCAAGUAUCUUGCUGGAAAAAUGGCUAUUUAAGAAUGUAAUAGGUCCCAGAGAGCUAUCCAUUUAUAUUUUCUUCUCUUCUAAGGACAUCAUUUGUUAUAAGAUCCCCCCUGGUACAUAUUUUCACAUAAUUCCUCCCCUCCCAAGGGCUCUGAGGAAGUCCUCAGUUCUUCAUAUAGCAUGAUUUUGAUUCCUUACCUUGGUAACAGGUCUGUGCCCUUCUUCCCCUCCCAAGCGCUCGGAGGAAGACCCCAGUUCAUGCUGCAAGAUCUUACUUACCUUGGUACACGUUUUUCCCCUUCCUUCCCUCCCAAGGGCUUAAGGAAGACCCCAGUUCUUCAUGCUCUCUAGUUCUCUAGUUCUUCAUGUUACAAGAUAUUCCUUUGGUAGUCUAACAACCAUCCAUAAUUAAUUUAAGGGUCAAAGAAGGCUCCAAAAUUUCUUGCAUAAAUAUAUAUUUGGUAAAUUACAUAUAGUUAUUUACACAAUUGUGUAUUAAUUUACUAUCUACCUACUACUACUACUACUACUACUACUACUGCUACUACUAAUUAUAAUAAUAAAAAAGGUACAGAUACAGACAUACAACACAACAGAUAAUUAGAUGGCCCCCCAAAAAACACUUAACAAAAACAUAAAAUUUGCCGAACACAAACACAUAGCAACCUUCCUCGCAGACAAUUUAAGUAACAACAUAAACAUUUUUUCAAAUUCUUUAGGGCAUGCAAAUAUGCUACCAACACUAUUAUAUCACAGAAAGACAACAAUAUCACAGUAGUAACCAGCCCACAACACCGUUCCAAUUAGUGUGCACCCAAGAACACUACCAGACACCAACCAUGCCACACAGCCCCUUCUUCCAACAGCCCCCCUCAACAUUCCCAUUAACAGUAUGGGGAGGAGAGGGGGAAUCCUGGCAUUACAGAAGGACUUGACAAGUAAAUUCACUGGGCCCGACAACAUCCUUGCCUUCAUUCUUAAAUCCUUAGCCCCGUCCUCCAGGGACUCCUUGAUCCAAUAUAUAUCAUCCUCAUCAUUACUUUGACUGGCUUCUGACAAACAUCAACCCUUUAUUUGAGACAGGUGACUGGACUGACACAGCCAAUUAUUGCCCCAUUUCACUAACACUGAUUCCAUGUGGAACUUUGAACACAAUACACAAACACAUAAUGAAAUCUGCUUGACACAAACAACAUUGUUUCUGACUCACAACAUGGCCUUACAACCCAAAUGCUCAUGUGAAUUGUACACACACACAAAUACCUCAGAGUUCAAUUCUCCAUUAACUUAAAAUUCAACACUCACACAGAACACAUCAGUGCCACAGCCAACUGAACACUUUUGGAUCCUUAAGUGUAAUCAACAUAACUGUAUAAAAAAAAACACUUAUACAACUAGUAGUAGUAUAUCACACUUGUGAGAUCAAUGCUUGAAUACUGCUCCACGGUGCGGCAUUAUCACACACAGAAACAUUGAGAGGUUAGAGCAAAUCUACACCAAGGUGUUUCUAGGAAAGGAAGAGGUUGUGUAGAUUAUUUUCUUUUACUGAAAAUGCUAUUUGAAAAGAAAUGGUGAAGCCAAUAUUUCAUAAAAAAAAAAAGAAUAUGUGAAGAGAGAGUAUGAGGGAAGGAAAUGGUGAAGCCAAUAUUUCAUAAAAAAAAAAAGAAUAUGUGAAGAGAGAGUAUGAGGGAAGGAAAUGGUGAAGCCAAUAUUUCAUUACAAAAAAAAGAAUAUGUGAAGAGAGAGUAUGAGGGAAGGAAAUGGUGAAGCCAAUAUUUCAUUACAAAAAAAGAAUAUGUGAAGAGAGAGUAUGAGGGAAGGAAAUGGUGAAGCCAAUAUUUAAUUAAAAAAAAAAAGAAUAUGUGAAGAGAGAGUAUGAGGGAAGGAAAUGGAGAAGCCAAUAUUUCAUUAAAAAAAAAAAGAAUAUGUGAAGAGAGAGUAUGAGGGAAGGAAAUGGUGAAGCCAAUAUUUCAUUACAAAAAAAAAGAAUAUGUGAAGAGAGAGUAUGAGGGAAGGAAAUGGUGAAGCCAAUAUUUCAUAAAAAAAAAAGAAUAUGUGAAGAGAGAGUAUGAGGGAAGGAAAUGGUGAAGCCAAUAUUUCAUAAAAAAAAAAGAAUAUGUGAAGAGAGAGUAUGAGGGAAGGAAAUGGAGAAGCCAAUAUUUCAUAAAAAAAAAAGAAUAUGUGAAGAGAGAGUAUGAGGGAAGGAAAUGGAGAAGCCAAUAUUUCAUUACAAAAAAAAAAGAAUAUGUGAAGAGAGAGUAUGAGGGAAGGAAAUGGAGAAGCCAAUAUUUCAUAAAAAAAAAAGAAUAUGUGAAGAGAGAGUAUGAGGGAAGGAAAUGGUGAAGCCAAUAUUUCAUAAAAAAAAAAAGAAUAUGUGAAGAGAGAGUAUGAGGGAAGGAAAUGGAGAAGCCAAUAUUUCAUUAAGAAUAAAUAAAUCUGCAAUGAAAUUUUAGUAACCCUUUCAUUGAUAAAUGUUUGCAGUGGGCAUUAGGCGUAUUUGCUGGUGGCGCUAAACACUCGCUGUGAGCUCCAGCUGCACUCAAAUCUCCCACAUGUGAGUGUUCCAUAACUAAUUCUCAUAACACAGGUCCGAUUGCCAAUAGAGUGGGUUCUUCACUAAAUUUGGUGGAAAAUCAUGUCAGCCAAGCACAGAAAAUCUACGGAUGAGCAAGUGGUGGAUAUUCUUGCCCAAUAUAGUGACAUUUUUGCACAGCUUCACCUAUCACUUGACUCAUAUUUUGACCAAAUAGUUGUAAAGUUUGCAGUUGGCAAUACUCCCUUGCCAGCACCCAUCAUCAAGAGAUCUACAGUAGUUGCCUUGCGGCUGACCGUCACGCACACAUAAAUGUACAUCUUCACAGGAAACACCCCCUGAACGUGCCUGUAUUUUCGCAGGAGAGGCUUACAUUACCGAAUAUUAUAAAUCUUGGCCUCCUCUUUCCAAUGGUGUUUUUGUUUUUAGCUGUGAUAAAUAGUUUUUUUAUACAAAGGUUAAAAGAGCGAGCACUAGCGUCACUUGCUGGUGGUGCUAAAAGCUCGCUGUGAACGCGCCUGAGGGGAGUCUCAUUGUGAGCGCUUAGCAAUGAAAGGGUUAAGAAAGAUAAUUAAUAUUAUUUUGUGGAGACAAUGGAAACAGUUGAGAAAGGUUCUGGUGAUCUCAAUUAAUGGCUGGACCCCACA